rnacentral:ncRNA from 1 species
CCUUUUGCAUAAUGAGCCUACGAGUUACUCUUGUCUGGCAAGGUUAAGUGGUUCAGCCACGCAGCCGAAGCGAAAGCGAGUCUUAAUAGGGCGCAUAGUCAGAUGAGGUAGACGCGAAACCUUGUGAUCUACCCUUGGGCAGGUUGAAGUUGCAGUAACAUGUAAUGGAGGACCGAACCGAUAAACGUUGAAAAGUUUCCGGAUGACCUGAGGGUAGGGGUGAAAGGCCAAUCAAACUGGGAAAUAGCUCGUACUCCCCGAAAUGUUUUUAGGAACAGCGUCGGCGUAGAGUUUGAUAGAGGUAGAGCUACCGAUUGGGUGCGGGGGAGUCAAAUCCUACCAAAUCCAGACGAACUCCGAAUGCUAUCAAAUAUAGCCGGCAGUGAGGCUUUGGGUGCUAAGGUCCAAGGCCGAGAGGGAAAGAACCCAGACCAUCAGCUAAGGUCCCCAAAUUCGUUCUAAGUUGAACUAACGAGGUCCGGUUGCCCAGACAGCUAGGAUGUUGGCUUGGAAGCAGCCAUUCAUUUAAAGAGUGCGUAACAGCUCACUAGUCGAGCGGCCGGGCGUGGAUAAUAAACGGGCAUCAAGUGUAUUACCGAAGCUAUGGAUUCAUGCAUUAUGUGCAUGUCUGGUAGGGGAGCAUUCUAUUUACGGAGAAGCGGUCUGGUAAUGGGCCGUGGAGUUGAUAGAAAAGCAAAUGUAGGCAUAAGUAACGAUAAGGCGGGUGAGAAACCCGCCCACCGAAAGACUAAGGUUUCCUGAUCAACGCUAAUCGGAUCAGGGUUAGUCGGGGCCUAAGGCGCAUCCGAAGGGAGUAAGCCGAUGGACAACUGGUUAAUAUUCCAGUACUUUUUAUAACUGCGAUGUGGUGACGGAGUAGUGACACUGCCGCGAACUGACGGAAUAGUUCGUUAAAAGGCGUAGGUAUAGGGACGGUAGGCAAAUCCGCCGACCCUGCUGAAACCCAAUAGUACAGCAAAGCUUCGGCGGCGCUGAUAGAGCAGGUAAACAGACUUCCAAGAAAACCCGCUAAGCUUCAGGUUAUAAAAACCCGUACCGUAAACCGACACAGGUAGUCGAGGAGAGAAUCCUAAGGUGCUCGAGUGAAUCAUGGCUAAGGAACUCGGCAAAAUGGCCCUGUAACUUCGGGAGAAGGGGCGCUUCCUCCAGCGAUGGAGAAGCCGCAGUGAAAAGGCCCAGGCGACUGUUUAACAAAAACAUAUGGCUU